GAUGAAGAACGUAGCAAAAUGCGAUAAGUAAUGUGAAUUGCAGAAUUCAGUGAAUCAUCGAAUCUUUGAACGCACAUUGCGCCCGCCAGUAUUCUGGCGGGCAUGCCUGUUCGAGCGUCAUUUCAACCCUCAAGCACAGCUUGGUGUUGGGACUCGCGUUAAUUCGCGUUCCCCAAAUUGAUUGGCGGUCACGUCGAGCUUCCAUAGCGUAGUAGUAAAACCCUCGUUACUGGUAAUCGUCGCGGCCACGCCGUUAAACCCCAACUUCUGAAUGUUGACCUCGGAUCAGGUAGGAAUACCCGCUGAACUUAACCAUAUCAAUAAGCGGAGGA
rnacentral:misc_RNA from 1 species